UUGAGACUUCAUAAGCCAAAUUGCUUAUUCCAAGUUUAAUCCCUUUACUGUGUGAUCUCAUAGGUUCAAUUCUGUCUGGUAGUGAGAUAUACAAUGAUCUCUAUCAUAUGCUAGCAAUGUUAUCCUGAACCCAAUAGGAUUUUUUUAAAUCCAAUUGAGACUUCAUAAAUCCAAUUGCUUAUUCCAAAUCUAAUCUCUUUGUUGUGUGACCCCAUGAUUUUAUUCUGUCUAGUAGUGAAAUAUAUAAUGAUCUCUAUCAUAGUAUCAUUAAAAUUCUUUUCAAUUGGUCGAAACAAUUUCACUCUAACUCAUUAAGGAUUAUCGAUCUUAAGAAAUCUUAGUAAGCUCUCACGAUCCAUCAGUGAUACCUAGCAGUAUGUAGUGACAAUCCAGUAGAAUCAGAAAAGAACCUCAAGAUGUAGUUCACGUAUGAUUUAGUUUCUCUAUUGCGUGUUCCGACUAGAUGGCAGGUUAUGGAUAAUCGUCAAACCUCAUUAUCAGUCAUAUGAUAAAUUUGAUCCACUCAAAUCCAAUUGUGAUCCUCAUGGAAACUCUUUUCUAUCAAUCACACUACUGUGGUCACAGACUCUUGAACUUAGUCUUUCAAAUUUCAUAGGACAACUCUCUAUUAAGGUCAAUAGAUCCCAUCUUGAUGCACACUCUACUCCUAUAAUGAAUCAACUGUUACAAUAUCCACUACAAGGGCUCAUUGAGAUCAUAUUUAUAUGUCAGUCAAACUCCAGUACCCUCAGUAUGAGUAGUCACAUCAUCGUAGAUCAAAUGAUCAUUCACACAACUACAGCAUCGAGACAAUCACUGACAAUCGAGUAG
rnacentral:lncRNA from 1 species